GACGAACGCUGGCGGCGUGCUUAACACAUGCAAGUCGAACGGAAAGGCCCUGCUUUUGUGGGGUGCUCGAGUGGCGAACGGGUGAGUAACACGUGAGUAACCUGCCCUUGACCUUGGGAUAACUUCAGGAAACUGGGGCUAAUACCGGAUAGGAGCUCCUGCUGCAUGGUGGGGGUUGGAAAGUUUCGGCGGUUGGGGAUGGACUCGCGGCUUAUCAGCUUGUUGGUGGGGUAGUGGCUUACCAAGGCUUUGACGGGUAGCCGGCCUGAGAGGGUGACCGGCGACAUUGGGACUGAGAUACGGCCCAGACUCCUACGGGAGGCAGCAGUGGGGAAUAUUGCACAAUGGGCGGAAGCCUGAUGCAGCAACGCCGCGUGCGGGAUGACGGCCUUCGGGUUGUAAACCGCUUUCGCCUGUGACGAAGCGUGAGUGACGGUAAUGGGUAAAGAAGCACCGGCUAACUACGUG
rnacentral:rRNA from 1 species